rnacentral:rRNA from 1 species
AGAACGAACGCUGGCGGCAGGCCUAACACAUGCAAGUCGAACGCUCGUAGCAAUACGAGAGUGGCAGACGGGUGAGUAACGCGUGGGAACCUUCCCAGUGGUACGGAAUAGCUCAGGGAAACUUGAGGUAAUACCGUAUACGCCCCUCGGGGGAAAGAUUUAUCGCCAUUGGAUGGGCCCGCGUAGGAUUAGCUAGUUGGUGAGGUAACGGCUCACCAAGGCGACGAUCCUUAGCUGGUCUGAGAGGAUGAUCAGCCACACUGGGACUGAGACACGGCCCAGACUCCUACGGGAGGCAGCAGUGGGGAAUAUUGGACAAUGGGCGCAAGCCUGAUCCAGCCAUGCCGCGUGAGUGACGAAGGCCUUAGGGUUGUAAAGCUCUUUUGGCGGGAAGAUAAUGACGGUACCGCAGAAUAAGCUCCGGCUAACUUCGUGCCAGCAGCCGC